GGACCCUUGGUGGAGCAGGGGUUAAAGCGCUUGGCUGCUAACCGAAAGAUUGGUGGUUCGAACCCACCAGCCUCUC
rnacentral:tRNA from 1 species